UGGGGAAUAUUGCACAAUGGGCGCAAGCCUGAUGCAGCCAUGCCGCGUGUGUGAAGAAGGCCUUCGGGUUGUAAAGCACUUUCAGCGGGGAGGAAGGCGUUAAGGUUAAUAACCUUGGCGAUUGACGUUACCCGCAGAAGAAGCACCGGCUAACUCCGUGCCAGCAGCCGCGGUAAUACGGAGGGUGCAAGCGUUAAUCGGAAUUACUGGGCGUAAAGCGCACGCAGGCGGUUUGUUAAGUCAGAUGUGAAAUCCCCGGGCUCAACCUGGGAAAUGCAUCUGAUACUGGCAAGCUUGAGUAUCGUAGAGGGGGGUAGAAUUCCAGGUGUAGCGGUGAAAUGCGUAGAGAUCUGGAGGAAUACCGGUGGCGAAGGCGGCCCCCUGGACGAAGACUGACGCUCAGGUGCGAAAGCGUGGGGAGCAAACAGG
rnacentral:rRNA from 1 species